rnacentral:rRNA from 1 species
AUUGAACGCUGGCGGCAGGCCUAACACAUGCAAGUCGAGCGAGCGGCGGACGGGUGAGUAAUGUCUGGGAAACCGCCUGAUGGAGGGGGAUAAAUACUGGAAACGGUAGCUAAUACCGCAUACCAUCAGAUGUGCCCAGAUUGGAUUAGCUAGUGGGUGGGGUAAUGGCUCACCUAGGCGACGAUCCCUAGCUGGUCGGAGAGGAUGACACGCCACACUGUGACUGAGACACGGUCCAGACUCCUACGGGAGGCAGCAGUGGGGAAUAUUGGACAAUGGGCGCAAGCCUGAUGCAGCCAUGCCGCGUGUGUGAAGAAGGCCUUCGGGUUGUAAAGCACUUUCAGCGGGGAGGCGUUACCCUCAGAAGAAGCACCGGCUAACUCCGUGCCAGCAGCCGCGGUAAUUC